UGAGGAAUAUUGGUCAAUGGACGGAAGUCUGAACCAGCCAAGUAGCGUGCAGGACGACGGCCCUAUGGGUUGUAAACUGCUUUUAUGUGGGAAUAAAGUGAGGGACGUGUCCCUUUUGUAGGUACCACAUGAAUAAGGACCGGCUAAUUCCGUGCCAGCAGCCGCGGUAAUACGGAAGGUCCGGGCGUUAUCCGGAUUUAUUGGGUUUAAAGGGAGCGUAGGCUGUCCUUUAAGCGUGUUGUGAAAUGUAGGCGCUCAACGCCUGCACUGCAGCGCGAACUGAAGGACUUGAGUGUGCACGACGCUGGCGGAAUUCGUGGUGUAGCGGUGAAAUGCUUAGAUACUCACGAA
rnacentral:rRNA from 1 species